UAAAAGAUGAAGUUUGUCAGAUUGGAUUAAAAAUUUAAAACACAUUUAUCUUAUUCACAGGGGAGAAGGAAGAAUAUUGAAAGACUGACAGAGAAAGGAUAGAAAAUAUGUACCCUGUGACACUAACCAAAUGUUCUCCCUUUUAUGUCGAACUAAAAAGAUGACAAUCUUUGUAUUUUAGGAUCAUACAACUGGAGAGAAGAAAGAAAACAGAGGAGCCAAAUAAUAAAGGGUUAAUAAAAGCAAAAAUAAUAGUUGAUAACUUUUAUGGAGAGAAUGUCCAGUGGUACAGAUCACAGGGUGUGAUGAGAUCUCAUUUUUUCCCACCUACGAAUACAGAGCUGAAGCACACAGCAGAUGAACUAGCAUGGGAACCCGGGCUCCUUCUCUGUCCUUCAGGCUAUGUGGCCUUGGUCAUCCACAC
rnacentral:lncRNA from 1 species